CCAAAAAAAAAAAGAAACUUAUAUAGGAAGGGUACUUCAUAGUUUCAGAUCUCUUUUCUUUAAGACUGGGGAUUGAAGAGAGAAGGAGGAGAAGAAUUUAGACUUUGGUUGUGAAAGAGGGUACAAAUUAAGCUUGUUUCUGGUUUGGGUAUUAAGAAGCUCGGGUAUUAAGUCAAGGAUACUUAGGUGGCAGGGUUAGGAAACGAGUGCCUGAGUGUUAAGAGUUCAGUUUUUGGUCCUUUUGUUGUGAUGUUUUGUGCCACUAAGCAUCAUCCCUUUCUGCAAGGGUUUUGAUCAUGUUUAUAUACAAUUCAACUCUUUUAUAUAUGCAAUAUGUUUCAUUGGAGUGGUUUAUAUAAUAUGCCAUGAUUUUAUUUA